AGGACGAACGCUGGCGGCGCGCUUAACGCAUGCAAGUCGAACGAGAUCCAUCCAGUAGCAAUACUGGUGAAGAUCGAGUGGCGAACGGGUGAGUAUCACGUGAGGAACCCACCCGGAGACCGGGAUAACCCUCGAAAGGAGAGCUAAUACCGGAUCGUCCUCAUCGGAUCGCAUGUUCUGAUGAGGAAUGGACUUCCGCCGCGGCGUCGCGGCGUCUA
rnacentral:rRNA from 1 species